GAGUCUGCGACUCGCCGACUCUAGACUUGAAAUCAAAUUUGAUUCUGUCGAAGGUGUUAUUAAGCUUUGCCGAUACUGCGGAAGGAUCCAGAAAGUCUGCAGGUUGUUUGUAGGAUUUACAUUUGUUCUCUGGUGAAGAAGGAUUGUCAAGAUAGUGUGCUCUACCCGAACUUUGUUAGCUGCCAUCAUAUUAAAUGAGGAUACCACACACUGCUUGACUUCACCCUAGCUAUGAUACUAGGCUUGGCAGUGUCUUCAUCGGUUUAAAUUUGGCAAAACAAAUUCAUGUCAUAUUUGAGCAUCUAUUCUGUAUUCUCCAAGGGCGAUUUCUGAAGACAUACCCGGAUCCUUCCGGAUUACCGAAUGGGUUUCGGUGGAUUUUCCCCUUGCCAUCAGGGAUGGGUGUUGUCACUGUUCUCAAGGACUGUCACUUUCGCUUGAGUCUGUCGGAUUUUACAACACGUUUGCAAGCAAACCUGAAGGUCCCACCGCCGAGUCCAUGAGACGAAACACAAGUUACCGUAUAUUUCAACUGCUUGUACCAAACCAACACAGUGUGCAGACUGUGAUUACUUGAGAUUGUCCUCCCGAAUCUCCAAGUGAAUCUACAGACCCCUGACUCUCGGUACUAAUAUUGUGCAGAUUUGAGCCUUUUAAACAGGUGGGGACGGGAUUAAUUCAACGUCUAUGCUAGCCCCUAUUUGUUUUUCGCCGCCUAGACCACAGGAGGAAAGGCAUCCAGGGGAAUCCUUCUGUAAAUUUAAGGAGUUAAUUUUCCCCUCAACGUUCAUUGUUCAAUUGUUUGAUUUAAUUUUGAUUGGAUUUAAUUAUUAAUGAAGUGGAUGGAAUACCCGAUUAUCGUCCGAUAGAGAUUGAUACCUUGGCGGCAGAUGAUGGCGACGACUGAUCCUUUGGAGUUUGCAUCACUUUGGAGAUGGCACGCUAAGAAAGAACAACGAAAUGCGAAUGUGACGUACACCAGGAUUACCCUACUGCACGGUAAUGGGAAUGAAAUCAACAUUGCAGAAACUUAAUAAAACCCAAAUUUUGCUCCCGUGCACACCAUUUUCCCGGAACUGAAAAUGAGAGCUGUCGUCCUAGGCUCACGGAUUCGCAUAAUCACGGCCGCGAAUCGUUUGGGGUUGUACUCUGCAUUGCGUGCGUGCAAUGCAAUUUGUUUCAGGUCCAACUUGCAUCCCAGAUUGACGGAACAAUUCCGGAACCAGCAGACGCUGGUGUGUAGGGUGUCGCCGGAGCGAUUGUUCUAGGACCAAAUAUUCCACCUUCCGGGGUUCCUUGUGACAUGGGCGAACCUGCAUUAACUGCACUUGAUCUUCGAUUUGGAGCAGACUACCAAUUGGACCGACCCCUAGCACGUGCUUUUCCUCUGAAGCUAUCGACAGUGGAACGUCAUCAAUCGGCAUGCGGUCGUCGACAGGCCGACAUCAUCAAGAUUUCCCGUUUUAUUUAAUAGUAGGUCACAGCGAAAAAUACGUAAAACUGUCAUGCGAUGGAGGUUGGGUGAGAAAGAAACGUGUUGCAUCAUUAUCAAGAGAGAGGAAAGGCUACAGAGAUCAGUCGAGUGAGCAUCUCCCACACGGUAACAACUGCACCAACUGUAUUCUUCGUCGUAAUACCAAUUCGCUGAUAUGGUUAACUAUGGCGUCGUGCUGCUGCUGGAUGUUGUAUCUGCCUGUGUUGUGCCAGGAUUCAGUCGAUGGUCCUCUGAUGACAGGGUCUUUGAGCUGAGUCUCUACCAGCCACAACGCUACGAUCAUUUACUACUGAUGCUCCCAAGUACUACACCGAAAAGGCCGAAUAUUAAACCACCACGUUCGCUGCCCUAGUUUACUACACCGAAGAACCCAAGUAUGACUCUACUCCGAGCUACUACCUAACAGAGGCUCCUGUUAACUACACCACCAAUGCUCCCGAGUGUUACACGACAACCUAAGCUGCCCCCAACUACAACACUAAAGUUCCGACGUACUACACCAUCAAGUCACAACCAGUUCGCAAUCAUAUGCUGUGUUUUCCAUGUUAAUUUUGGUGUCGUGUUGCUGUUGAGGGUCCUAUCGCUUAAGCGGGUCGACCACUGUAUUCUUCCAAUUCUUAAUCUAAGUGAGUUAUGGCGUCGUGCUGCUGUCGACUGUUGUAUCGUUUAUGGCUGAGUCGACCACUUGUGUACCGAUGUCUCCUGACUAUGACAGAUGCCGAAUCGCAGCGCCGUCGCCUAACCACAAGACAAGGAUGACAACCAGUUACUACACCAAGGCAUUGGACGACUAGUCGACUACCCUACAACCUACGCUGCUCCAACUUACUACCUCGAGGCCACCUAACGUUACUCCUCUCCCAGCUACUAGACCGAGGCUCCAGUUUAUUACAUCACCGAGGCACACUAGUACACAGAGGAUCCCAAGCACUACAAAAACACAUCACCGGAGUACUACACGACUACGUAUGCUGCCCAAGCUGACUACACCAAGGCUUCCAAGUAUUCUCUGCUACCAGCUACUACACCGAGGCCCCACAAUACUACCCUGCCCCUAGCUACACACUUGCAACUGAGCCGGUCAAGUACUACCCAGCACCUACUUUCUGCCCAGCGGCUGCUCCAUCUUACUACGUUGACCCUAACUACUACACCACAAUCUACGCUGCUCCAGGCUACUACACUGAAGCUCUGUUAACUACAAGGUACUGAGUAUAAAACCACUGCUUCCGCUUCUCCGACCUACUACACCGAAGUAUUACUCUGCCCCGAAUUACUGCAACAUUAAGGGACUUGCACAUUACGCCACAACCUACACUUCCUGCCUACUACAAGGAGUCUGAGAUUUAAAAUGUUUUAUGUUCAGAUUUUGUUACAUCUUAAUAAUUAUUGUUAAUUGAAAUUGAUCGUUAAUUUUAAAUGACCAAACCGGAGAAAAUAAAAUUUUUAAUGCGAAUAA